rnacentral:rRNA from 1 species
UACGAAGGGGGCUAGCGUUGCUCGGAAUUACUGGGCGUAAAGGGCGCGUAGGCGGACAUUUAAGUCAGGGGUGAAAUCCCAGAGCUCAACUCUGGAACUGCCUUUGAUACUGGGUGUCUUGAGUGUGAGAGAGUUAUGUGGAACUCCGAGUGUAGAGGUGAAAUUCGUAGAUAUUCGGAAGAACACCAGUGGCGAAGGCGACAUACUGGCUCAUUACUGACGCUGAGGCGCGAAAGCGUGGGGAGCAAACAGG